CGAGGUGUAGCUCAGCUGGUAGAGUGCUUGGUUUGGGACCAAGAUGCCGCAGGUUCGAGUCCUGUCACCUCGACCA
rnacentral:tRNA from 1 species